GGCGAACGGGUGAGUAAUAUAUCGGAACAUGUCCGGAAGUGGGGGAUAACGUACCGAAAGGUACGCUAAUACCGCAUAUGCCCUGAGGGGGAAAGGAGGGGAUCGUAAGACCUUUCGCUUUCGGAGUGGCCGAUAUCGGAUUAGCUAGUUGGUGAGGUAAAGGCUCACCAAGGCGACGAUCCGUAGCUGGUCUGAGAGGACGACCAGCCACACUGGAACUGAGACACGGUCCAGACUCC
rnacentral:rRNA from 1 species